rnacentral:rRNA from 1 species
UACGGAGGGUGCGAGCGUUAAUCGGAAUUACUGGGCGUAAAGGGUGCGUAGGUUGUUGAGUAAGUUAACUGUGAAAUACCUGGGCUUAACCUGGGUCUGUCAGUUAAGACUGUUUGACUGGAGUAUGGGAGAGGGUAGUGGAAUUUCCGGUGUAGCGGUGAAAUGCGUAGAGAUCGGAAGGAACACCGGUGGCGAAGGCGUCUACCUGGCCUAAUACUGACACUGAGGCACGAAAGCGUGGGGAGCAAACAGG